rnacentral:rRNA from 1 species
CAGUCGCCGCGGUAAUACGAAGGGUGCAAGCGUUACUCGGAAUUACUGGGCGUAAAGCGUGCGUAGGUGGUGGUUUAAGUCCGUUGUGAAAGCCCUGGGCUCAACCUGGGAAUUGCAGUGGAUACUGGGCCACUAGAGUGUGGUAGAGGAUAGUGGAAUUCCCGGUGUAGCGGUGAAAUGCGUAGAGAUCGGGAGGAACAUCAGUGGCGAAGGCGGCCAUCUGGGACAACACUGACGCUGAGGCACGAAAGCGUGGGGAGCAAACAGGAUUAGAUACCCCGGUAGUCCCUGUCUCUUAUAC